rnacentral:rRNA from 1 species
UACGUAGGGUGCAAGCGUUGUCCGGAAUUAUUGGGCGUAAAGAGCGUGUAGGCGGUCCGGUAAGUCCGUUGUGAAAGUCAAGGGCUCAACCCUUGAAUGCCGGCGGAUACUGUCGGGCUAGAGUCCGGAAGAGGCAAGUGGAAUUCCUGGUGUAGCGGUGAAAUGCGCAGAUAUCAGGAAGAACACCCGUGGCGAAGGCGGCUCUCUGGGCAUUACCUGACGCUGAGGAGCGAAAGUGUGGGGAGCGAACAGG